rnacentral:rRNA from 1 species
AUCCAGACUCCUACGGGAGGCAGCAGUGGGGGAUAUUGCACAAUGGGGGAAACCCUGAUGCAGCGACGCCGCGUGAGUGAAGAAGUAAUUCGUUACGUAAAGCUCUAUCAGCAGGGAAGAAAAUGACGGUACCUGACUAAGAAGCCCCGGCUAACUACGUGCCAGCAGCCGCGGUAAUACGUAGGGGGCAAGCGUUAUCCGGAUUUACUGGGUGUAAAGGGGGCGCAGACGGCAGCGCAAGCCAGGAGUGAAAGCCCGGGGCCCAACCCCGGGACUGCUCUUGGAACUGCGCGGCUGGAGUGCAGGAGGGGCAGGCGGAAUUCCUGGUGUAGCGGUGAAAUGCGUAGAUAUCAGGAGGAACACCGGUGGCGAAGGCGGCCUGCUGGACUGCGACUGACGUUGAGGCCCGAAAGCGUGGGGAGCAAGCAGGAUUAGAUACCCGAGUA